UGACCGGACGGAUGUCGCCCAAUCGGAAUGAAGGGAGGGCGGGAUCAGUGAAAACCACGUGAUCAUCCACGAGUGCGGUGCAGAGUCGCUGAGAUAACCGGAACUGCAGAUGCUGGAGAAUCCGAGAUAACACGGUGUGCAGCUGGAUGUACACAGCAGGUCAAGCAGCAUCAGAGGAGCAGGAAAGCUGACGUUUCGGGCCUAGAUCCUUCGCUGAGACCAAAAUUUGUGCAAUUGAGAUACCAGCGAUCGUUGCCAAAGCCCUCUUACCUGUGGAGAAGGUGAUGUUUAACUUUCGUGUGCUACUGCAGUUUGUAUGAUAAAGGUGCUCUCACAAUGCUCCAUUUGAGAAGUUACAGAUCAUUCAUCUAGCGAUACUGAAGAGCUAAUGGUGAUAUUACAAGUGGACUUUCAGGUAGGAAGCUCAAUAAUUGUAACACCAAACUCUGACUGAAUUACUCAAUUCAAUCAGGACCUGGAUAUUCGCAUUGUGUAUUUCCACAAUUUUACUUCUGCACUAUUCUUAGUCUUUCAGAGGGAUCAAAAGGUUGAGUUACAGAUCUAUACAAUGACUGUCCUUCCUCGCUGGCUCCCCCACCUCUCUCUUUUGGUAGUUUUAUGCAAACACUGACUGGAUCCCUUACCUGGAGGAUAUUUGUGAAUGAAUUUGUUCAAAUGGUGAUCCAGCAUUUUCCCCAAGUAUCGCUCCACACAUGCCCAGAGAAUUUCUCAGUUUCACAAUCUGUGUCCUUCUGGUUUCUUACUCGCUACACUUAACUUUCUGUUUGAAAGUAUAGUCUGCAGUUGGAGAAUUUAAACAGGUCCACAUCCAGGUCUGACGGUCACUUUGUUUCUCACAACCCAAUUAUCUCAGGAUUUUGAACAAUGAAGGAAAAAGCAGCACUCACAUUGGGGAGAAAUGCACAUGGUGUGUGUGUUGAAGAGUCUGUGAAGAUUCAUCUGAAAUGUCCGAACACCAGUGCAGUGACACUGGGAGACAGAGUGUGGAAAUGUGCAGAUUGCAGGAAGGAAUUUCUUCAUCCAUCCCAGCUAGAAACUGACCACCAGAGUCACACUGGAGAGAGACCAUUGACCUGUUCUGCAUGAGGGAAAGGCUUUGCUGAUUCGAAUUCCCCGCUGAUACACCAGCGAGUUCACUCUGGGGAGAGACCUUUCAUGAGCUCUGAGUGUGGGAAGGGAUUCAUUGUCAGCCAAACUGUUAACACACCAGUGAGUUCACAGACAACCACAGUUGAAGAACUUUGCUGUCACUCUCACUAUCAAAUGAACCAUGGUUUUGGGCUGUUUGUACAGAUGUUACCGAUCCCUGCUCAAUUAAAGGUGCUGGUAUUGUGAAUAAAAUGUCACACUAA